rnacentral:rRNA from 1 species
GAUGAACGCUAGCGGCAGGCCUAACACAUGCAAGUCGAGGGGUAGAACACUUCGGUGUUUGAGACCGGCGCACGGGUGCGUAACGCGUAUGCAAUCUACCUUGUACAGGGGAAUAGCCCAGAGAAAUUUGGAUUAAUGCCCCAUAGUAUAUAACCUUCGCAUGUUGGUUAUAUUAAAGUUCCAACGGUACAAGAUGAGCAUGCGUCCCAUUAGUUAGUUGGUAAGGUAACGGCUUACCAAGACGAUGAUGGGUAGGGGUCCUGAGAGGGAGAUCCCGCACACUGGUACUGAGACACGGACCAGACUCCUACGGGAGGCAGCAGUGAGGAAUAUUGGUCAAUGGGCGCAAGUCUGAACCAGCCAUGCCGCGUGCAGGAAGACGGUCCUAUGGAUUGUAAACUGCUUUUAUACAGGAAGAAACCCUCCCACGUGUGGGAGAUUGACGGUACUGUAGGAAUAAGGAUCGGCUAACUCCGUGCCAGCAGCCGCAGUAACAC